GUUGAACGCUGGCGGCAUGCCUUACACAUGCAAGUCGAACGGCAGCGCGGGAGCAAUCCUGGCGGCGAGUGGCGAACGGGUGAGCAAUAUAUCAGAACGUGCCCAUUAGUGGGGGAUAGCCCGGCGAAAGCCGGAUUAAUACCGCAUACGACCUGAGGGUGAAAGCGGGGGAUCGCAAGACCUCGCGCUAUUGGAGCGGCCGAUAUCAGAUUAGCUAGUUGGUGGGGUAAAGGCCUACCAAGGCAACGAUCUGUAGUUGGUCUGAGAGGACGACCAGCCACACUGGGACUGAGACACGGCCCAGACUCCUACGGGAGGCAGUAGUGGGGAAUUUUGGACAAUGGGCGCAAGCCUGAUCCAGCAAUGCCGCGUGCAGGAAGAAGGCCUUCGGGUUGUAAACUGCUUUUGUCAGGGAAGAAAUCCUUUGGGCUAAUACCUCGGAGGGAUGACGGUACCUGAAGAAUAAGCACCGGCUAACUACGUGCCAGCCGCCGCAGUAA
rnacentral:rRNA from 1 species